CGAGCGGACAGAUGGGAGCUUGCUCCCUGAUGUUAGCGGCGGACGGGUGAGUAACACGUGGGUAACCUGCCUGUAAGACUGGGAUAACUCCGGGAAACCGGGGCUAAUACCGGAUGGUUGUUUGAACCGCAUGGUUCAGACAUAAAAGGUGGCUUCGGCUACCACUUACAGAUGGACCCGCGGCGCAUUAGCUAGUUGGUGAGGUAACGGCUCACCAAGGCAACGAUGCGUAGCCGACCUGAGAGGGUGAUCGGCCACACUGGGACUGAGACACGGCCCAGACUCCUACGGGAGGCAGCAGUAGGGAAUCUUCCGCAAUGGACGAAAGUCUGACGGAGCAACGCCGCGUGAGUGAUGAAGGUUUUCGGAUCGUAAAGCUCUGUUGUUAGGGAAGAACAAGUGCCGUUCAAAUAGGGCGGCACCUUGACGGUACCUAACCAGAAAGCCACGGCUAACUACGUGCCAGCAGCCGCGGUAAUACGUAGGUGGCAAGCGUUG
rnacentral:rRNA from 1 species